GCCUCGGUGGUUCAGUGGUAGGAUGCUCGCCUGCCGUCUGCCACGCGGGCGGCCCGGGUUCGAUUCCCGGCCGAUGCA